rnacentral:rRNA from 2 species
UAUAAGUCUGAUGUGAAAGCUUUCGGCUUAACCGGAGAAGUGCAUCGGAAACUGGAUAACUUGAGUGCAGAAGAGGGUAGUGGAACUCCAUGUGUAGCGGUGGAAUGCGUAGAUAUAUGGAAGAACACCAGUGGCGAAGGCGGCUACCUGGUCUGCAACUGACGCUGAGACUCGAAAGCAUGGGUAGCGAACAGGAUUAGAUACCCUGGUAGUCCAUGCUGUAAACGAUGAGUGCUAGGUGUUGGAGGGUUUCCGCCCUUCAGUGCCGGAGCUAACGCAUUAAGCACUCCGCCUGGGGAGUACGACCGCAAGGUUGAAACUCAAAGGAAUUGACGGGGGCCCGCACAAGCGGUGGAGCAUGUGGUUUAAUUCGAAGCUACGCGAAGAACCUUACCAGGUCUUGACAUCUUGCGCCAACCCUAGAGAUAGGGCGUUUCCUUCGGGAACGCAAUGACAGGUGGUGCAUGGUCGUCGUCAGCUCGUGUCGUGAGAUGUUGGGUUAAGUCCCGCAACGAGCGCAACCCUUGUUACUAGUUGCCAGCAUUAAGUUGGGCACUCUAGUGAGACUGCCGGUGACAAACCGGAGGAAGGUGGGGACGACGUCAGAUCAUCAUGCCCCUUAUGACCUGGGCUACACACGUGCUACAAUGGACGGUACAACGAGUCGCGAACUCGCGAGGGCAAGCAAAUCUCUUAAAACCGUUCUCAGUUCGGACUGCAGGCUGCAACUCGCCUGCACGAAGUCGGAAUCGCUAGUAAUCGCGGAUCAGCAUGCCGCGGUGAAUACGUUCCCGGGCCUUGUACACACCGCCCGUCACACCAUGAGAGUUUGUAACACCCAAAGUCGGUGGGGUAAC